rnacentral:rRNA from 1 species
UACGGAGGGGGCUAGCGUUGUUCGGAAUUACUGGGCGUAAAGCGCACGUAGGCGGCUUUGCAAGUCAGAGGUGAAAGCCCGGGGCUCAACCCCGGAAUUGCCUUUGAGACUGCAUCGCUAGAAUUGUGGAGAGGUAAGUGGAAUUCCUGGUGUAGCGGUGAAAUGCGCAGAUAUCAGGAGGAACACCGGUGGCGAAGGCGGGUCUCCGGGCCGAUACUGACGCUGAGGAGCGAAAGCGUGGGGAGCGAACAGG